AACUGAGUCAUUUAUAAAAAUUUAAUGGUGGUGUACGGUUCGUUCAGCUCGCAACGCGUCGCAACGUUUCGAUUUGUUGGUCAGUGAAAAAUUUCAGCAAAUAAGGAAAUUGUAUUGUGCAUAGCCUAUUGUCGCCGCGCGUCGUGCAUUACACUGUAACAAGGAAAAAAUACAAGCAACAAAUUUUCAAAUAAAAACCAACAAAAAACAAAAAUAAAACCAAAUAUAAGCGCGUCGCGUCUAAAAUUGCAAAUUGCUAAUUGCAAUACAAAGUCUGAAACGUGAAGCCGAAAAGCAGAGAAGAGAGCAGUGUACAAAAAAAAAACAGCAAUUGAAAGAAGCGGCAAAAACACACAAAACAUACAUAAAAUACAACAAAAGCAACAAUAAUAAAAGAAACAACAGCUACAACAACACUCAACAUCAACUACAGCUAUAAUUGAGAAAAAACGUAUGUUUUCUAUGCAUUGAUCUUUGUUUCCUGAAGAAGCUAACAGCAAUUAGUGAUGUGUUGCACAAAGUAAAUACAAACGCGAAG